CUCUUCAUACAUCAUUGGGAGCUUUCUUGGCAGGUGCACAAACUGCUCAGGCCCCGGUGGUGACAUACCCCAAUGAGAUGGAUGGUGUGCCUAAGAUGUGCUUGCCUGUUUUUGGUCUUGCAUCAUACAAGUUCAAGGGAUCCUUGUGGACCCCUAAUGGGGGAUGUGAGCGCAAAUUGGCAAGUUCUCUCUUGCAGGCUGCUGACAAUUGGUUGAGAUUGGUUCAGGUCAGUCAUCCAGAUUUCCUGUUUUUCUGCCGCAGAUGAUAGAAAGAUAUGAUGGUUACAACACUCCUCCAACCAUUCUAGAAUCUAUAAGCCCAAUGCUCUUGGUACAUGCUUGAGUUGUGUGAGAUAAAAUCCUUAAUUUGUGGAGAUCAAGAUGACAGGUCAUCUGCAAUAUUAUUGAUUUAUAUCCUUUACAAUAAGUUUAUAUGGGAGAAGUUGGGAAAAAAAAGACACUCCUAAGAAGGCUUUGGAAUGGAAGGAGUGGCAGUGCAGCAAGGCUCAAGCAAAAAUGAAUAGAGGGAACAUAGAGUUCGGAUAAGCUGCUGCACCUUGAACAGAACCAAGGUGAAAUUGUGUUUUGGUAUACUGUCAAUGAAAGCAAGUUUCAUCUUGCUUGUUCUUCUCAAUAUUUAUAUAUAAACCAGGCACUUUUUUUAGUCCUGCUGAUCAGUGCUUAGCAUGUAAUAUUUUAUUUUUAACUUCUAUAAGGGGAUUUUGAUAGGUUGUAUUGUCAUAUUUAAGCCUGCCCCAGAUAUGUAUUUUAAC
rnacentral:misc_RNA from 1 species